GGAGGGAGAGUAUCAGGGCUGGUUGAUAAGUGACUCAGCACAGCCACCAGCAAUGCAAGCCUUUCCUAUUCUCCCUGUCCCACGCCCACCCGGCCGGCUUCAUCCUAAGCGGGUGGCCCCACGGCUGUGAGAGCGGCUGCCAGCCGCGACGGGGGUCAUGGGUGUUUUUGUUCGAACCUGGUAAGAGAUAGCACACUUCCCUACACGCAUCCCAGGGAAGUGCCCUGCGGACGACAGCAGCUUGGACUGCAAUUAGGGGUGAAGUCAGACCCCUUAAGACACGUAGACUUCCCUGGACGGUUUUCUAACGAGACUAGACAGACACCCUUGCUAACAAGUUCCGCCAUCCGGCACGGAUGACCUCAUCGAAUCACCGCGUGUGAGACCUGAUCGGGUCCCAAGCAAAUUAGGAAUGAGUUUCUCUUCCUGGGACAGCUUCCCAUCUGUCUCAGGAAAAGAAGAAGGAGACGCCAGGUAUGGCCUCUGGAAACCAGGCGAUUUUGUUGAAACACCUGCUUGGACCUCCAAAGCGUGCCCUCUCAAGGCAGAACUUUAAUCGAAGCUAAUUCUUCUCCUAAGGGAGGUGAUAAUGAAAAAAGUGAUUGAGAAACACAGCAAGAAUCCACUGGGAAAUGAACCAAGACUGAGCCUGCCCCCCCCACCCCCGCUGCCGCUGUACCCACACUCCUUCCCUGAAUCUGAAUCUGGACAAUGUUGGCUGCUAACCAGGUGGAGGGGAUGGGGCACACUUUGGGAAGCGCUGCUUCAGACCACAGUCCCCGCCACCAGGCCGCACUCAGGACGGGGUGUGAGCACGAGAAAAUCCUUGCCGAUUGCAUUUUCUUUCUGGCCUUCUGAACUCAGAAGGUCCUGAUGCUCAGCUCUGCUCCAACCAGGCCAAGCCUGGGGGAAACCUCCACCAGAGAAGAACAGAAAGAGAAAAGCAUCUGUCUGCACGGUUUUUUGUCCCCCUUGCAAUCCACACGCAGCAGCGUUACCCAGCCACCCCCUCCCCAAACACACACGCUGCCUGCCGUUCGUACAUCUCGAAGGGUUUCAGGCCUGUGUCCGUGAGGAUAUGGGGACGGAUUUAUUCAGCAGGAACGUGGUUACAGACAAAGGAGAAGGAGGAGGGGAAAGAAGCAGAACUCUGCCAGGAAUUCCUCUUGCAAAGGGAAUCUGCCGAAGAAGAUAAGGAGAAACGGAGACUCAGACUCGGAAGGUGGAGUGAGUCCCCCAAGUUGCAGGGAGUUAACAGCAAGGCUGAGCACAAAACCCGGAGAGCCGAGCCGGGGUGCCCUCUGCCUAUCUGCACCGCCUCUUACAGCCAGGAGUUCUUCUAGUAGCACGCACUAAAAGAAAAUACUCCAGAACGCUGAAAUUGCCUGAGCACCAGCACCCUUUAUAAGGCUUUCUGUGCUGCACAUUUUCAUCUCCUCCACUCGGCAGGACCACCUUCUUGGUCCAGGUUUCACCCACUCGAACCUAAGCCACCGACACUUGCCUGUAACAAAGCAUUUCCAAGCUGGGGUUUUGGAGGGGGGCCUACAGGCUAUCUUUGACCACCUCCUCCCUUGCCCCUCCUCAGCCCAGUGGGUAUUUUCCGAGCGCAGGCAUUUGGUUUGGCCCUCGCCUAGUGUCCACAGGCGUCCUUGACUGAUGAAACAGACAUGUCUCCAGCGUGAUUUGUUUGUUUGUUUCUUUUGCUGUCCCCUAAAGAUAUCUGUACUGGAUCCUUCAUGGCCGAGGAUCUUAACCUCCUUCGUUUCAGACAUGGCACCCAAAACUGCAAGAAUCCCUAAGUGCACAGCAUCUUGCUUUAUGUGGCAUUUCCGUGGACAUCUAUAAAAAUCAAAUUCAAAGUUUAAUUUCCAUCUUUGGGACCAACAUCUGGAGGGAAACUGGAAAGGAAACGUCCUGCUCAUUCCAAAGAGCCAGAUGUGUGCCAUCACGCAGAAGGAAUGUCCAGAUGCCGGACGUCUCCACUGUAUUCCUCCAAGCGAGCCUUUCCUGUAGUCUUUUGGAAAGUCAGAUGAAGAACUUCUUUUCUUUUUUUUUUUGGUUUUUUUUUUUUAACAUUUAUUUAUUUUUGAGAAAGAGAGACAGACAGUGAGUGGGGGAGGAGCAGAGAGAAAGGGAGACACAGGAUCA